rnacentral:rRNA from 1 species
CCUACGGGUGGCAGCAGUGGGGAAUAUUGGGCAAUGGGCGCAAGCCUGACCCAGCAACGCCGCGUGAGGGAAGAAGGCUUUCGGGUUGUAAACUUCUUUUCUGAGGGACGAAGAAAGUGACGGUACCUCAGGAAUAAGCUACGGCUAACUACGUGCCAGCAGCCGCGGUACUACGUAGGUGGCAAGCGUUAACCGGAUUUAUGGGGUGUAAAGGGCGUGUAGGCGGGAAGGCAAGUCAGAUGUGAAAACUCAGGGCUCAACCCUGAGCCUGCAUUUGAAACUGUUUUUCUUGAGUGCUGAAGAGGAGAUCGGAAUUCCAUGUGUAGCGGUGAAAUGCGUAGAUAUACGGAGGAACACCAGUGGCGAAGGCGGAUUGCUGGACAGUAACUGACGCUGAGGCGCGAAAGCGUGGGGAGCAAACAGGAUUAGAUACCCCAGUAGUC